rnacentral:rRNA from 1 species
GUACGUAGGGGGCAAGCGUUGUCCGGAAUCAUUGGGCGUAAAGCGCGCGUAGGCGGCCCGGUAAGUCCGCUGUAAAAGUCCAGGGCUCAACCCUGGAAAGCCGGUGGAUACUGCCGGGCUAGAGUCCGGAAGAGGCGAGUGGAAUUCCUGGUGUAGCGGUGGAAUGCGCAGAUAUCAGGAGGAACACCAGUGGCGAAAGGCGGCUCACUGGCCCGGUACUGACGCUGAGGUGCGAAAGCGUGGGGAGCAAACAGG